rnacentral:rRNA from 1 species
UGGGGAAUAUUGCACAAUGGGCGCAAGCCUGAUGCAGCCAUGCCGCGUGUGUGAAGAAGGCCUUCGGGUUGUAAAGCACUUUCAGCGAGGAGGAAGGUGGUGAGCUUAAUACGCUCAUCAAUUGACGUUACUCGCAGAAGAAGCACCGGCUAACUCCGUGCCAGCAGCCGCGGUAAUACGGAGGGUGCAAGCGUUAAUCGGAAUUACUGGGCGUAAAGCGCACGCAGGCGGUUUGUUAAGUCAGAUGUGAAAUCCCCGGGCUCAACCUGGGAACUGCAUUUGAAACUGGCAAGCUAGAGUCUCGUAGAGGGGGGUAGAAUUCCAGGUGUAGCGGUGAAAUGCGUAGAGAUCUGGAGGAAUACCGGUGGCGAAGGCGGCCCCCUGGACGAAGACUGACGCUCAGGUGCGAAAGCGUGGGGCAGCAAACAGGAUUAGAUACCCUGGUAGUCCACGCUGUAAACGAUGUCGAUUUUGGAGGUUGUGCCCCUUGAGGCGUGGCUUCCGGAGCUAACGC